ensembl:lncRNA
CUGGAGAUCCCUUCUACUAGAGUCUUUUGCGAACCCUGAUCUAUAGAACAGAGCUAAUCUCACAAUGCCAAAACAUCAGUUUCCAUCCACCCAUCAUUUCCAUAAAUUACCUUGCUCAGUGGACUCUUGAUCAAGUGAUGUUGAGAUGGAGAUGUGACAGCCAUAAAAAGUGUAAAUAACAAGGGUAGUUUUUGUAGAAGUUUAAAUCUGGACUACAAGUUUUUAACUUUUUCCUCUUGAGAUACAGUAAGGAGAUGGAUCAAUCCAGACCAACUCAUUUUCAGCAUGAACUGAUAUAACUCGCAAUGACAUCUGUGGGAGCAGAAGAGCACAAGCCAUUUUGAGCUCAGUCAGAAGAAAAUAAUGUAUGUUGCUCUUUUGUUUCCAUGCAUUGAUUCAUACCACCUUUUUUGUUUUGUUUUUCUUCUUAGUUAGUUCUCUGUAUUUUAGAAAAAAUAUGUAUAAGCAGUAAUUGUACCAGAAGAGUUUUUUUGCUUGUACCCAUAGGUGGAAAUUCUUAAGGCAGUAGAUUCUAAUGGCAGCACCUAUUAAUUUUUGAAAACUCGGUUGUUUAUAUGGCCACUGCAAACUACAGUGCAAGAGUGAAAAAUAUGCCAAACAAUUUCUAACUUACAAAAACUGUGAUUAAACUCAGUUAGGAUUCAAUACACUCCGCAGAGGUUAAUUAAAUUUUUAUAGAUUUAUUCUUCAUUCAGUGCUUUAAAAGGUUGUUCUGUUUAGUUAUCGUUGCCAAGUUGAUGAUGGGGGAAAUUAAAAGCCCCUGAUCUACAUCAGUCUUCUGUGUUGCCAGACACUGAAAUAAUUUGCAGGAUAUCAGUAUGGCAUGAAAUGGGUAAAGAAGAGAGAACUACAGCUGAAUGAUAUUUAGGUGAGUUGUGGGCUAUCAAGAAUUUUAGACAAGCACAACAGAUAUUGAGACUUUCUCUCAAUGGGAUUAAGCUACUGAGGAAUGAAUGCUUUUCAGCUCAAACUGGAUAGCCAAGGAUGUGACUAGGUCAAUUCCAUGAAGAUAAUACAGUUUAAAAGAGUAGUAAAGAGCAGAGUUGAGUUCUGGAAUGGCUAUGAUCUCCUAAGAUAAUUGCAGCAGCAAUAUGGAGAUCUCCACCAUAUCAUCUAGAAUACCUGAGUAGGGAUGGGUGUUUUCUCAAGGUGGUGUCAGAUAGGUAGCAAAGCAGUCAACAUCCCAGGAGGGUUACAAUUGAUGUAUUAUAUACAUAGCAGGUGGUUGUGAUAAAUAGAAAAGAAUGCUGUGAGAUUAAGACAAUAUACAAUAUAAAGGCUACCUUGAAUGUGAAAGCUUCAGUUUCUACUUUAUCUGCACUGUAAGACUGGCAUGCAGGAAAGCUGAAAACGUACUUAAGUUCAUCUCUCUUAAGCAAAGCACCAUGGUGUGUGUUUAAUUGCUGGUUUGUGGUGAAAUGUUCAGCUAAAUGUGGGUUGACUGCUGAAUGUGAGCCUGAAGAUCUUGUUGAAAUACUGGCUAAAGGAGAUCCAGUUAACAUUAUUUAUUAAAAAGCUUUAACUGUGUUCCUUACAAGAAGCUCCUUAGGAAGCUGAUCUGUCAUAGGGUAAAGUUCUUCCUGGGGGUAAAAACUGGUAGAAAGAUUAAAAAAGAAGGGUCAGACAUGAUAGUGACACUUCAUUAUGGAAGGACAAUUGUUAGCUAUCUACAACAGGCAUGAAAUUUUGUUGCUUAUGGGGAUGCAAGCUCUGUACACUGAGCAGUCUGAAAAGUAAAUGAGAACAGUUAUUUUCUAAAAUUUAUUGUAAAUUAUAUUAUACUUUUUCUGUUUUAAGCAGAUCUAGAAAAUGAUUAUCCCAGAUAUUCCAGUCAGGCUCUUUUUGUUGCAAAUCUAUGUCUAAUAGCUGAGCUCCUUCGAGGGUAUCUCUUGCUUUCCUUUUAACUUGGAAAAUAUCUUGUGUAGUCCUGGCAGUAGCCGAGACAAAUACCCAUAAAUAUUGUUAAUAAUCUGGAAUAAGGCCUUUAGCAGCAAAAUAUUUUUUUUGCCAGAAAGUGUUUUAUCUGACAAAAUUUAUAUCAGGCAAGAUUAAAUAAGACUUUGGAGAUUCCCAGACUAAACUAUCUGCACAACAUUUAUGACAGAUGAAAUUCACUGCAGAUAAAUUCAAGGUGAUACACAAGUAAGGAUGAUUCACUUGCUCAUACACAUAGCUGAGUUAUGAAUUAGCUGUAAUCACUCAAGAAAAAGAACUUGCUGUUAUUGAGGGCAACUCUAUGAAAACAUCUGCUCAGUGCACAGCAGUGAUCAAGAUACAAAAAAAAAAAUGUCAAGCUGUAUUAAGAGAGGGUUAUGGUAUAAGGCUGGAAGCAUUGUAAUGCCAUGGCUAUGCAUGGUGUGCAUUCACCUUGAACAUUGUGCCCAACUGUUGUCACCCUACUUCAUAAGUAACUUACUAGAAAUAGAAAGUAUUCAGAAAAAAAAAAGCACAAUUAUGAAAUCAGUGGCUAGGAAAUUUUCUAGAUAAGGGUAAAGUUGAAAUAAGUAACAAACAUAUGAUUUGAAAGUUGAGUUUUGCUCUUGUAGGGUACACAUUAAGGACUUGGCCACUGCUGAAAAGACAAAUUGAUAUAAAUCAGUUUUUCUGCAAUUAAGGUGUACAGUGUAUUCCUGCAAAAUCAAGUACUUCAAGAUCUUUAUUGCUUUCAAAAAAAAUAACAACAAACCUGUUGGUAAUUCUGCACCUUAGAAGUAGGCAGCCCAAAGAAGGAACAUAACCAAUCAAAGAGAUACCAGCCAAGCGGCAGAUAAGGAUAUCUGUAGGGAAAAUGUUAGGUUAGUUAAUGUUUCAUACUCAAUAAAGACUUUUUGUUUUCACACAGUGGAUUCUCCAAUUUGUCUAGCAUAUUCCAAAGACUUUUUGUGCUAUCUUGUGGAUUUAUCAGGUGUAGAGAUGUAUCAUAGCUAGCAUAUGUAGAAAUACCUCAGUAGAAGAGCAUACUAGCAAGAAUUUUCACUACAAUCUACAAUAUAUUACUACUGUGCUGCAUUACUCUCAGGUUUUUGCUCAACAAUUGGAUUACAUCAAUGUUCUGUAUUAUAUUUCUGUGCUGGAUUGCUUUAAAAUAAGCUACCUGAAUGAAUGAUAACUGAAUUGGCAUCACCGUAUAAAAUAUUAUUGUGAGAGAAAGCAUCAUGCCAAAAUAAGAUCAGAAAAUAAGGAGUGUGGUAAAAAUAAGACUGAGAUUUUGCAAAUAAGAGCAAAGCUCAUAUCGUUCAGCAUGCAAAAAAGCAUAUGAAAGAAAUUCCAUGUAGGAAAAGAAAUACAAGCCAAAUGCAGCUUUGGGAAUUAUUUCUUGACAAAAAUGUUCUAAGGAUCUGAAGCACAAAAAUCUAUUUUGUGCUCCUCUGUGCAGUUGAUCAUGCAUUCCUUCAGGCAGCAAAAAUCCUACUGACUAAACAAGAUUUAUGGGCAGAGUGCAACAAUGGGAUCAAAACCAAGGUACCAACCCGUUAACAUCCAAGCAAGGCAUGAAACAGUUUUUCUCUUUGCAAAAUUGUGUGCAGUCUGAAGAAUGGUUCUUGUCUGUGCAGAGAUAAAACAAUAUUAACUAUGAAAAGUUAGAGAGAGAGAGAAGCAAUAAAAGCCUUGAUGAGAGGAGACAAAGCUGUGGUGUGUGUUGCUGCUAUAUAGCAACUGGAUCACAAGGAUUUACCUGCUUGUCUUAGGAAUACAAGAUGUAAUGUGUAGAGUCUCAUUUCCACUGAACUAAUGGCACUUUGCAAUAGCUGAUGGUGUCUGUGUGCCUUAUUCCCAUACUUUUUCUGUUUGGCAAGAAACUCUGCCUGCACUCUAACGCUUUUUCUAAGAAAAUUGAUAUCCUGUUUGUUGCAAGAAAAAAGUGUUUUGAUGAAACUUCAUUUUAUCAAAUAAAAGACAAUUUCUU